GCCCCCAAACCUUCCUCCCCCGCACCCGCAACCGCCUCCCCUCCCUCCCUCCUAUCUCUCCUCCCUCCCUCCUCGUCCACGCGCGCUCGCCUCCGGCCACCUCCGCCGCGAGCCCUCCUCUAUCUCCCUCUCCUCCCUCCACUCUUCUCUUCCCCGCCUCCUCCUGCUGUCGCCGCCUCCCAUCCCCUCGGCGACGCGCCGCCUGACCCGCACAGUCCAAGCUUCGACGACGGCGCGCGAUGAUAGAGGAGGAGCGAAGGAGAGGUAUGGUGGGGGAUCUGCUCAUGAGUUGGAGGUGCUCAAGUUGGGGUAGCAGAGGACGGCUCGCCGGCAAGCUCAGCCCUCUCCGCCUGGUCCGGGGACGCCCGUUGGCGAGCUUCGACCACCCACAUCGGGGCAGAGGGAGCCGCGCGCGUGGCCAACAAGUGGACCGACGGGAGAGACGCCGCGCCGCGUGCUCGACGGGGAGGAGAGAUGAAGGGGGCGCGUGUGGGCGGCUGGCCGAAGGGGAACCAUCGCGUCUCUGCCGCAUCUACGAACCGCAGGUUAGUUUUGGCACAGAUCAGGGCAGGCAUGUCUUCAUGGUGCUUGCGGAGGAGUAGGGCCGCUGAGGAAAAGUGGUGGUUGGGGAGGAGGACGCCCUUGUCCUUGCCCUUGUCCUUCCCCUGUGCUGCUCUGUGCAUGGUUGUUGAAGGCGAGGACGACCUGUGACUCCUCGUGGCAAGUUUGUGUUGCACAUUAGGAAGAAGAGACCUGGGCAGCGUGCUUUACAUGGGCGGCGUCACCUCGACCAGAUUAACGAUUCAAGCCCAAGAACACGUGAGAAAUCAUUGAUGCGCAUGACUGACAGCUUUCGCACAAGGGAGAAGUGCAAACGCUGGAGCACAUGGAUGUGUAGCAGGACUAAGUUCUGAUUGGACCAAGGCAAAGGAAGCAUACGACCGGAAAUUUCUCUCAGGUCACAAGGAAGCCGGGGGAGGAGGAGACCUCGUCGCGAGGGAGCUGCGGGAGGAGGAGCUCAACCCAAGAGGAGAGGAUGCCAGCCAGGGAGUCGUCUUGGCUCGACGCGGUCCUUCGCGUCUUGAACCUAACGCCGUAGGCGGCUCGUGCAGUUGCGCAGCAGACGGCGGCCGAAGCUGGUCAUGACCUCGCAUCCUGGGUGCGUGCUCGAUUAGCUCGUGUCUUCACGGCCUUCAGGUGCGCAGGUGAGUCCCCAACCAUCUCUCUCUCUCUCGUUUUGCCUCUGAGGUUGCAAAUGCAAGCACCUGUUUGCAAACGUGAGCACUAGCUGUUUGUAAAAGUGCUGAAGGAGAGCUGCUCAGAGGAGGGCAGUAUGUGUGUUCGAGAGAGAGGGAUGGAAAAGAGGGUGACUGGAAUAAGUGGAGAAGAAAGUUAUUAGUUGAUUCCUAUCAAACAAAAGUAAAUACCAGCCAUGUUACUUUUAGUGUGUUUGUUAGUUCCAUUUGCAUAUAAUUAGAGUAAACUGCACUGAUCCACAUACUUUCUCCAGCUCCCUUGAAAGCUAAUUUAUUUGGCCCCCCAUUUUACUGUCAAUUUGUAGUAUGCUUUCUUAUGCUUGAGUGGUCAAUAGAUUUUAGGUUUGAGCAGCUAAUUGGCAAAUUUAAAAGUACAAGGGACAAGAUAAAUUGUGAUCUUGCAAUGUCUACUCCUCUAUUGAUGUGGCUCUUGAUUUCUGAAGCUCCCAGGAUUUAAUAAGCCGCAGGAGGACGAGCUCAACCCGGACGAGGUCGUUGUGGUCCUAGGUUCAGUCAGGCUCUCUCCCCUCUCUACAUCUCUCUCUCUCUCUCUCUCUCUCUCUCUCUCCUUCUACAUCUCUCCCUCUCUCCAUUAGAGGGCAGCUGCUGACCCCGAGGUGCAACCGGCCAUGGCAAGGCAGGAGAUGUCGAGAGGAAUUUUCCUCCAGGAUAUUGCAGACACCACGUGUCAUUGCCCGUUACAAAUCUGCCUAGGAGUACAUGGGAAAAUGUUUACAUUUAAGCAACCUCAGUUGCGGAUUUUUUAUAUUUGUUCACUCGCUCAAGAGGCCAUUAGUCUGUACCAGCGAUGGAGACAGCUUCCCUUUUCACUACUGUAUUUUUCCCCCAUUUCUAUAUUGUCUCGAAUCAUGCUAUGAGUUUGGAAAAUUGUAUCACUGCAAUGCCUUCUUCGUAUCUGUAGAAUUGGAGAAAAAACCAUACAUGUUAUUGAUGCAUUAGUAAGAAGGCUCGCCGUCUGGGAGAUGGCGAGCGCCAGUGAGCACUGCGCACGGUGUAGCAAGCUGGACAAGAUCACAAGAGCGUGAGCGACAGUCAAGACAUGAGCUAUCCAGUGGUCAAACUGGGCUAUAUUUCUUUCAUUGAGGCGAGGGUGAUUCCAGCAGAUUUUGCUUGGCAUACUUGCCUUUUUUCUUGAAGUUGGGCGUCAGUCGUCUCUGCGGCAAGCAAGGAUUCUGGAUCGGGCGCAGGUCGUCGACAUAAGAGAGCCUGGUUGGUGUGGUCUUCAUGCUUGGUGUGGAGAAGCAGGGGAGGAUGAGUAGGACGGGCAUGGGGAAGGAGCAGCCAGGCCGGAGCUCCGGUGUUGCUCACGUCAUGGUUGAAUGGAGCCGGCCAUCACUAUGGGCUGCUGCUCGCCGGUCGUUGUUCCCCAAUCUCAGUUGCUCAUCUUUGGCUUCACCAUCUUCCUCCCCUGGUCAUGCAUCUACUUUAGAUCAUAUAAUUAUGCUAUAUCAUAUAUGUUGUUUAGUUCAGACUUGUGCAUGUGCAUGCAUUGGCAUUGAUUUAGACAGAGAUAUUGCAUGAUUUGUACAUAAAAGGAGUACGGAUGAUCUAAGAAUAAAUGUUCGAAUAAAGUUAGUAGUGAGAUUUAGGUAAGAGGUUACCUGGACUGUUCUGUUUUAUGUAGAUUCUAAGCUGCAAAAUCAUACAUGGUCCUGUUAGUAGUUUGUUUGA